GCCUGGGUGGCUCAGUUGGUUAAACUUCUGACUUUAGCUCAGAUCAUUAUCUCACGGUCCUCUGUGGGUUCGAGCCCCAUGUCGGGCU
rnacentral:tRNA from 1 species